rnacentral:tRNA from 1 species
GCGGGAUUGAUGUAGUGGUAACAUGUUAUCCUUCCAAGUUGGUCUCAACGGUUCGAAUCCGUUAUCCCGCUCCA